AAAAAUGUUUGGUCUCUGUGCCAAAUCAACAUUUGUGUGCACCAUUGACUGUCUUUGGUAGUUCGAGCUGCGCCUGAGCGGGACUCAACAUCCCCUUCGCGCCUACCCUCCCAUGCUUGCGUGGUUGGGUUGGGCUACCGCCUUUUUUGAACAAACCUUUUGUUGUGGUUUUUCUGUCUGAACGAAAAGUUAAUCUUUGUCGAUUAAUGAUUCUUAUA
rnacentral:misc_RNA from 1 species